rnacentral:lncRNA from 1 species
CUGCAGUAGAUCAGUUCCAGUGGUGCAGGGAUACAUUGUACAGGGAUACAAGGAUACACUGCUGUACAACGUGUACUGUAGCUAACCCUCAACAUGAUUUCUCAUUUCUGGAAUCUCUGCAGGGCGUGUCCGGCACUCGACGUAGACAAGUUGCACAGCGAGUACAGGAGUACAUACAGAUGGCAUGAAUAUACUCCUAAACAUAACCAGCUGGUUGUUAGGAAACCUCCACUUCCGAAUUCAGGAUCAGGAAUCGAUGGAUCUGAUUUCCCGCGUAAAAAGAAGUACCCUGAUGUAGCGUAUAG